GAAUGGUCAUUAAGAGGCUACCAAACAGCCCCUAAGUCAUUUAGGCGUAUUUGUAUUUAGUUUUCUUCCUAUAAUUAGUUUACUUAACGAGUAAAAUAGUUAAGCAAGAGGACAUCCUCCAAAAUGUUAGGAAUGAAACCUGAACAUUGUUAACUCCUUCUUCCAUUAGUUCAAAAGUAUUAUAAAACCAGGGUGGUGUUAUUGCUUUAAUGUAUGUAUUUGGCAUAUAAAGCAUAAAUCGGUCAAUGAAAUCCAAAAACUGAUGAAAUUAAUCUAAUAAAUAAAAUACACAACUAUCAACUUUGUAAAACUCCUGAGAUCCCUAAUACGACGUAAUGUGUGUGAAAAUGACCAAAUGGAUAUCAACAAAAAGGCGUUGUUAUCUGUUGGGUCGUCCCUAUGUAAACAAGAACGAUGCAUAUUUUCAGGUGUUUUCUGCUUGGCCUGUACCUAUUUUUCCCUCAGUGUUGCUCCUGCAAUAUGUCAAGAAGAUAUGGUAUUAAAACUCAUGAAACGUACAGUUUCCCCUUGAAUCCUGGAUUUUUUUUUUCUAUUCAGACUACCUUUUAAUUAUCUUUUGAAGUUCAUAUAUAUUCCUUUUACCUUAAGACAAACAACUAAAGAUAUUGUAGAGUUAAGGCUUUUGUUUUCAUAUAAUGAUAUAAAAUUAAAUGCAUAACAAGAAAUUGUUUGUCUGGAUCAUUUAAGAGCUAAGGACUUAUGUUUGAGUGACACCUAGUGGUGGUGCUGUGAUGGUGAUAUUGAAGUUUUCGCCUUUUUGGUGGCGCUGACAAUUUUGUAGCAGCAUUGCUGUUGACAGUUACGGUAGCGAUGACAUGUUGAACUUGUGGGCAUUAGAUAGAACAUUAACAGUGGCGGUGCUGUUGAUACGGAACAAUAGCGGAUAAAUCGUCUUGAGGUAUAAAAGGGUUUGGUUGGGUUUUGGGGAGACCCAUUUGCUCCGCCUUUUCUCUGCUCCCACAAGACACCUAUGAACGGUGAUCGACAGUUCCACUCAACUUCCACUGUCUGUCUCUUUCUCGCAUACUUUUUGUAGUUGCUUUCUUCUCUGUUUGAAGGUAAUGUUGUUCGCGAUGUUAUUUGUGAAUUUUUGUUGGUUGUACUAAUUACCAAACAGUCGAAGAUUGCAUGAUCCUGUUACUCAGGCAUGACCUUUCAAGUCUCUUUAUCAAUGUAUAUUUAGUGGUGAUUGGCCUU